AGAGUUUUUCCUGGCUCAGAUUGAACGCUGGCGGCAGGCCUAACACAUGCAAGUCGAGCGGUAGAGAGAAGCUUGCUUCUCUUGAGAGCGGCGGACGGGUGAGUAAUGCCUAGGAAUCUGCCUGGUAGUGGGGGAUAACGUUCGGAAACGGACGCUAAUACCGCAUACGUCCUACGGGAGAAAGCAGGGGACCUUCGGGCCUUGCGCUAUCAGAUGAGCCUAGGUCGGAUUAGCUAGUUGGUGAGGUAAUGGCUCACCAAGGCGACGAUCCGUAACUGGUCUGAGAGGAUGAUCAGUCACACUGGAACUGAGACACGGUCCAGACUCCUACGGGAGGCAGCAGUGGGGAAUAUUGGACAAUGGGCGAAAGCCUGAUCCAGCCAUGCCGCGUGUGUGAAGAAGGUCUUCGGAUUGUAAAGCACUUUAAGUUGGGAGGAAGGGCAGUAAAUUAAUACUUUGCUGUUUUGACGUUACCGACAGAAUAAGCACCGGCUAACUCUGUGCCAGCAGCCGCGGUAAUACAGAGGGUGCAAGCGUUAAUCGGAAUUACUGGGCGUAAAGCGCGCGUAGGUGGUUUGUUAAGUUGGAUGUGAAAUCCCCGGGCUCAACCUGGGAACUGCAUUCAAAACUGACUGACUAGAGUAUGGUAGAGGGUGGUGGAAUUUCCUGUGUAGCGGUGAAAUGCGUAGAUAUAGGAAGGAACACCAGUGGCGAAGGCGACCACCUGGACUAAUACUGACACUGAGGUGCGAAAGCGUGGGGAGCAAACAGGAUUAGAUACCCUGGUAGUCCACGCCGUAAAC
rnacentral:rRNA from 1 species